UUACUACGGGAUGGUAACCUGAAGGUACUAUGAGAAUAAGUGUCGGCUAAUUUCGUGCCAGCAGCCUCGGUAAAACGAAAGACACAAGCGUUAUCCGGAUUUAUUGGGUUUAAAGGGUGUGUAGGUUGUUUAUUAAGUCAGUAGUGAAAGCUUACAGCUUAACUGUAAAAUUGCUAUUGAUACUGAUAAUCUUGAGUCAGAUUGGAGCGUCUGGAAUGUAUGGUGUAGCGGUGAAAUGCAUAGAUAUCAUACAGAACACCAAUAGCGAAGGCAGGAUGCUAAAUCUUCACUGACACUGAGGCACGAAAGCGUGGGUAGCAAACAGGAUUAGAUACCCUGGUAGUCCACGCCCUAAACUAUGAUCACUAGCUAUUGGAAAAAUUAUAUUCAGUGGCCAAGCUAAAGCGAUAAGUGAUCCACCUGGGAAGUACGAUCGCAAGAUUGAAACUCAAAGGAAUUGACGGGGUUUCGCACAAGCGGUGGAGCAUGUGGUUUAAUUCGAUGAUACGCGAGGAACCUUACCAAGGUUUAAAUGUAUUACGAAUAAGCUGGAAACAACUUUGUCUAUAAGACGUAAUACAAGGUGCUGCAUGGUUGUCUUCAGUUCGUGCUGUGAAGUGUUUGGUUAAGUCCUAUAACGAGCGCAACCCUUAUUGUUAGUUGCCAUCGGGUAAAGCCGGGGACUUUAACAAAACGGCCGGUGUAAAUCGAGAGGAAGGUGGGGAUAAUGUCAAAUCAUCAUGGCCUUUAUGCCUUGG
rnacentral:rRNA from 1 species